rnacentral:rRNA from 1 species
CGCUAUCACUCCUACGGGAGGCAGCAGUGAGGAAUAUUGGUCAAUGGACGCAAGUCUGAACCAGCCAUGCCGCGUGAAGGAUGAAGGCCUUCUGGGUUGUAAACUUCUUUAUCAGGGAGAAAUUACGGUUUCUACUGUAACCGACGGUACCUGAGGAAUAAGCACCGGCUAACUCCGUGCCAGCAGCCGCGGUAAUACGGAGGGUGCAAGCGUUAUCCGGAUUCACUGGGUUUAAAGGGUGUGUAGGCGGGCUAUUAAGUCAGUGGUGAAAUCUCCGGGCUCAACCCGGAAACUGCCAUUGAUACUAUUAGUCUUGAAUUUUGUUGAGGUAGGCGGAAUAUAUCAUGUAGCGGUGAAAUGCAUAGAUAUGAUAUAGAACACCGAUUGCGAAGGCAGCUUACUAAGCAAAUAUUGACGCUGAGGCACGAAAGCGUGGGGAUCAAACAGGAUUAGAUACCCUGGUAG